rnacentral:lncRNA from 1 species
UGUACUCGUACCCCAGUCCGAAGGUAGUACCAUGUUUCUUCAACUAGAUAGGUUUGGUGAUAUCAUGAAGAUUCUUACCAAGCCCUUUUCCCGGUUCAUACCCACUCCAAUUCAGAAUGCUUUCAACCUUAAUGCUCCACCAUUUGUCUUUAUCCACUGCGUUGACUUGCUCAAUAUGAUGAUAUGUUUCUCCGCCAAUUCUUC